rnacentral:rRNA from 1 species
CUGGUUGAUCCUGCCAGUAGUCAUAUGCUUGUCUUCCCAAGAUUAAGCCAUGCAUGUCCAAGUAUAAGCCCUUAUAGGGUGAAACUGCGGAUGGCUCAUUAAAUCGGUUGGAAUCUACACGAGAGUGUAUUUAGAUGGAUAACCACGGAAAAUCUGCGGCUAAUACAUGCAUAAAAGCACCGCAAGGUGUAGCAUUUAUCAGCUUGAGAUGGAUGCAGGGGCAACUCUGCUUGGUGAGUCACGAUAAAGAUGCUGACCGUAUGAGCUUGACUCGACGGCAGUUCGUUCGACUUUCCGCCCUAUCAACUUUGGAUGGUAGUGUAGUGGACUACCAUGGUGUUUACGGGUGACGGAGAAUUAGGGUUCGAUUCCGGAGAGGGAGCCUGAGAGAUGGCUACUACUUCCAAGGAAGGCAGCAGGCGCGAAAAUUGCCAAACCUACAAAGUAGGAGGCAGUGACAAUAAAUAUCUGCGGGGCUUAUGCUCCGACUGGAAUGAGAUGGAUGUAAAUAAUCCUACGAGUAUCGAUUGGAGGAAAAGUCUGGUGCCA